UAUGAGUAACACGUGAGUAACCUGCCCUAGACUCUGGGAUAAGCCUGGGAAACUGGGUCUAAUACUGGAUAUGACUUCUCACCGCAUGGUGGGGGGUGGAAAGAUUUAUUGGUCUUGGAUGGACUCGCGGCCUAUCAGCUUGUUGGUGAGGUAAUGGCUCACCAAGGUAGACGACGGGUAGCCGGCCUGAGAGGGUGACCGGCCACACUGGGACUGAGACACGGCCCAGACUCCUACGGGAGGCAGCAGUGGGGAAUAUUGCACAAUGGGCGCAAGCCUGAUGCAGCGACGCCGCGUGAGGGAUGACGGCCUUCGGGUUGUAAACCUCUUUCAGUAGGGAAGAAGCGAAAGUGACGGUACCUGCAGAAGAAGCGCCGGCUAACUACGUGCCAGCAGCCGCGGUAAUACGUAGGGCGCGAGCGUUAUCCGGAAUUAUUGGGCGUAAAGAGCUCGUAGGCGGUUUGUCGCGUCUGCCGUGAAAGUCCCGGGGCUUAACCCCGGAUCUGCGGUGGGUACGGGCAGACUAGAGUGCAGUAGGGGAGACUGGAAUUCCUGGUGUAGCGGUGAAAUGCGCAGAUAUCAGGAGGAACACCGAUGGCGAAGGCAGGUCUCUGGGCUGUAACUGACGCUGAGGGAGCGAAAGCAUGGGGAGCGAACAGGAUUAGAUACCCUGGUAGUCCAUGCCGUAAACGUUGGGCACUAGGUGUGGGGGACAUUCCACGUUUUCCGCGCCGUAGCUAACGCAUUAAGUGCCCCGCCUGGGGAGUACGGCCGCAAGGCUAAAACUCAAAGGAUAUGAUAGGGGCCCGCACAAGCGGCGGAGCAUGCGGAUUAAUUCGAUGCAACGCGAAGAACCUUACCAAGGCUUGACAUGUUCCUGACCGCCGUAGAGAUACGGUUUCCCCUUUGGGGCAGGUUCACAGGUGGUGCAUGGUUGUCGUCAGCUCGUGUCGUGAGAUGUUGGGUUAAGUCCCGCAACGAGCGCAACCCUCGUUCCAAGUUGCCAGCACGUGGUGGUGGGGACUCAUGGGAGACUGCCG
rnacentral:rRNA from 1 species